CCUGGUUUAUGAUUUUAUCUGAUACCAGUUUUAAAGUUUUAUCACUUUUAAAAUACAUGUUUUAUUCACCUGAGAUUUUAUACCUUAACAGAGUUUGUGGAUCUUAUACAUUUAAACAAGUUCUUUCCACUUGCGUUGUGGUUAGCCCAUGGACUGGGACCACUAGGUACUACCUCACGUGUAGUGUAAGGCCUGAGAUGGAGACAUCGACCUACAAGGACACUGCCAUGAAGUGCGACAUUUGCAAGAAGGUCAAGGUCUGAAUCUAAACCUCACCCUUGGUUAGAUGAGAACAUAAGAAAACUUAAGAAGACAUGUAGAAAAGCAGACUGAAUAUGGAAAAUGACAAAACUACACGUCCAUUACAACUAUAUGAAGGAGCUGUUAUUAUCUUAUAAUAAGGCAAUUAGGGAUGUGAAGGCUGGGUAUUCUUCUGAACUAAUUGCAUCAAACUGUCACAACCCAUAGUUCUUAUUUAGAACUACUGAUCGUGUUGUUAAUCCAGCACCAGUCAGGGACAUGGCCUCAACUGCUGCAGACCGGAAAGUUCUUUUUUUUUAUGAGAAACUUUAUAAUAUUAGAUCUAUGAUGAAUCGUACUCUGCCUUAUAUUAAAGUUCCUUACCCCUGUCUAAACUAAUUUAACUGCUUUACUUGUUUUAGAAGACCUUUUAGAUAUUACAUCUAAUUUAAUAAAACCCUCCUUUUGCCCUCUAGAUACUAUGCCUCCCAGACCACUUAAUGAAUUUAUUGGAACAAUAGGCCCUGAACUACUCUCCAUUAUAAACAGUUUUGUCUGCACAGGUUUUGGCCAAUCCUGUUUUCUCUGUCUAUGAUUCCAUUAUGUAGAAUAAUCCGUCAGCAUGAAAUUUAUUUUCAUUGUUAUGCAGAUGAUAUGAAGUUGUAUUUGUCGGUUAGGCCAAAUGACUUGAGCUAGUUCUUUGUGUAUGUGUAUGUAUGUAUACAUGUAUGUAUGUGUGUGUGUGUGUGUGUGUGUGUGUAUAUGUAUAUACAUACUUAUACACAGUGGAUAUAUAAAAUCUACACACCCCUGUGAAAAUGCCAGGUUUUUGUGAUGUAAAAGAUAAAGAUAAAUCAUGUCAGAACUUUUUCCACUUUCAAUGUGACCGAUAAUGUGAACAAUUCAAUUGAAUAACAAACUGAAAUGUUCGAGUUGGAAAAAUGAAAAAUAAAAACCUUACAAUAACCUGGUUGCAUAAGUGUACACACCCUCUUAUAACUGGGGAUGUGGCUGUGUUCAGAAUUAACCAAUAACAUUCAAACUCAUGUUAAAUAAAAGUCAUUACACACCUGCCAUCAUUUUAAGUGACUAUGAUUAAUCACAAAUAAAGAACAGCUGUUAUAGUAGGAUUUUCCUGAAAUUUUUCUUAGUUGCAUCUCAGAGCAAAAGCCAUGGUCCGCAGAGAGCUUCCAAAGCAUCAGAGUGAUCUCAUUGUUGAAAGAUAUCAGUCAGGAGAAGGGUAAAAAAGAAUUUCCAAAGCAUUAGAUAUACCAUGGAACAGUGAAGACAGUCAUCAUCAAGUGGAGAAAAUAUGGCACAACAGGGACAUUGCCAAGAACAGGAC
rnacentral:lncRNA from 1 species